CGGCUCAUGCUUCACUGCUCUGAAUGUGUUUAUAGCUCCAUGAACUGAACAUGAAAUGAUCAAGAGCUCUUCUUCAUCAACCAACAAACAUGACUUUCAGCAUCAUCUUUGUCUUGACUCUGGCAGUGAUUUGUCCAGAAUCUAUUGGGCAGGUGACAGUGACUCAAACUCACUCAGAGCUGCUCGCUCAAACUGGACAACUAGUCAAAAUAACCUGUAAAACUAGCAGUAAUGUUGGCUGCUGUUGUGGAGGGACUGGAUGUCUUAGCUGGUAUCUACAAAAACCCAGAGAAGCUCCUAAACUCCUUAUUUAUGGAGCGAAUCAACGGCAGUCAGGAACUCCAUCUAGAUUCAGUGGCAGUGGAUCUAACAGUGAUUUCACUCUGACCAUCAGUGGAGUCCAGACUGAAGAUACAGGAGAUUAUUACUGUCAGAGUUACCACAGCAUCAACAGUAAAGCUGUGUUCACACAGUGAUAAAGAGUGGUACAAAAACCUCGUUCAGUCAGACGUCACAGUGAUGCACUGAUACAGCUGAGAGAUACUGCAGCUGCUGAUGGAGGAUCACAAACAACACAAUGGUGUAUCAAACCUUUCAGAGACUUUAUUUAUUUAUUAUGAGUAAACAUGUAACAUACAAUCUUAUAUUCCUUACUAAACUGGGCUAAAAUGUGGAGAAAAUGUGGAGAAUCUGUGCUUGUCCUUGCCAGUACAAUAUUUUCUAUAUUAUUUACUGUAGAAAAGUCAAUCCCUUUAAUUGCAAGUCUCGUAUGUGAUACCAUGACCGUUUCUUUGUGGAUAUACUCACUUGUUGGACUAUUUGGUGGAUGUACUUUCCUGUAUUUUCUUCUGUGUGGAUUCUUCUGUGACUGUUACCUGUUGCAUGUCUUUGAUGAAGGACUUUGAUGAAGGCCUGUGUGAUGAGUCUGUUUGAGUUCUGCUUAAGAUGCAAAUUUUAGGACUUGACAUUCAUGGCUUGAGACUUGACUCGGACUUGAGUUAAAUGACUCGAAAUAACCUGUCUUUUGUUUAAUAAAUAUCUGUCUUUGAACGCUCCGCAACCUAACUACAUGACGCAGCAGGCAAGCAGAGAGAGCUAACAUAAGAGCAUGGACUGUGACUGAACACUGGAGACAUGACUACGCCAAGAAUAAUUAAAUUUUAACAAAUAACGUUUUGGACAUGUUAAGAGUUUACUUUUAAUUGGUUUUGCGUUCAUUAAACAGAAAAUUGGGUUAAAAUC